UACGUAGGCAGCAAACGUUGUUCGGAAUUACUGGGCAUAAAGAGUGUGUAGGCGGUUCUGUAAGUUUGGGGUGAAAUCUCCCGGCUUAACUGGGAGGGUGCGCCGAAAACUGCAAGGCUUGAGUGCUGGAGAGGAUAGCGGAAUUCCUGGUGUAGCGGUGAAAUGCGUAGAUAUCAGGAGGAACACCGGCGGUGUAGACGGCUAUCUGGACAGUAACUGACGCUGAGACACGAAAGCGUGGGGAGCAAACAGG
rnacentral:rRNA from 1 species